rnacentral:rRNA from 1 species
GGGAACAUACCCUUUUCUACGGAAUAGCUCUGGGAAACUGGAAUUAAUACCGUAUACGCCCUACGGGGGAAAGAUUUAUCGGGGAAGGAUUGGCCCGCGUUGGAUUAGCUAGUUGGUGGGGUAAAGGCCUACCAAGGCGACGAUCCAUAGCUGGUCUGAGAGGAUGAUCAGCCACAUUGGGACUGAGACACGGCCCAAACUCCUACGGGAGGCAGCAGUGGGGAAUAUUGGACAAUGGGCGCAAGCCUGAUCCAGCCAUGCCGCGCGAGUGAUGAAGGCCUUAGGGUUGUAAAGCUCUUUCACCGAUGAAGAUAAUGACGGUAGUCGGAGAAGAAGCCCCGGCUAACUUCGUGCCAGCAGCCGCGGUAAUACGAAGGGGGCUAGCGUUGUUCGGAAUUACUGGGCGUAAAGCGCACGUAGGCGGAUAUUUAAGUCAGGGGUGAAAUCCCAGAGCUCAACUCUGGAACUGCCUUUGAUACUGGGUAUCUUGAGUAUGGAAGAGGUAAGUGGAAUUGCGAGU